rnacentral:lncRNA from 1 species
UAACAAGACACUAAAAUAGAUUAAAGAACUUAGCAAUUUAGCCUAUGACUUCCAACACUAUAUUUUACAGGUAGUUAGCAAUGUUUCAUUGGCAAGCCACAAUUAUGGAAUCGAAUAAUAGCCCAUGUUAAGGUGGUGUAUUCUUUUCAGCAAUUCAUUUUCCUACAGACUACCCCUUCAGAACCCUAAGGUUGCAUCCACAAGAACUUAUAUACAUUAUCUAACAUUAUCUAAAUAUUAACAGCAAUAGCAGCAUUUGAUAUGCCAUUUUAAGAUUACAGUGGUCUACUGCCUUGAUAUUUUUCAAGAUGCCUUUGUUUCUGCCAUGUGCUCCAAAUCCCUGAUGCCUCCUGGUGCCAAAAAUUACACAGAAUUACAAGUGAAACAGAAUAUCUUGGAAAUUGACUCAAAAAGAUAUUAUGUGA